UACGGAGGGUGCAAGCGUUAAUCGGAAUUACUGGGCGUAAAGCGCACGUAGGUGGUUUGGUAAGUCGAGUGUGAAAUCCCCGGGCUCAACCUGGGCACUGCAUUCGAGACUGCCAAGCUAGAGUAUGGUAGAGGGUAGUGGAAUUCCCGGUGUAGCGGUGAAAUGCGUAGAUAUCGGGAGGAACAUCAGUGGCGAAGGCGACUACCUGGACUGAUACUGACACUGAGGUGCGAAAGCGUGGGGAGCAAACAGG
rnacentral:rRNA from 1 species